GCGAGAAAACUUUGCAAUGUGCGAAAGCACGACAAGGUUAAUCCGAGUGGUUUCUGCUAAAGAAACCUUUUGUCAGUCCUAGAAACACUAACGAAUAAGGGGUGGGCAAGUUCUGGUGUCAGCCGCCGCGGUAAAACCAGCACCUCAAGUGGUCAGGAUGAUUAUUGGGCCUAAAGCAUCCGUAGCUCGUUUUGUAAGUUUUCGGUUAAAUCCAUGCGCUUAACGUAUGGGCUGUCGGGAAUACUGCAUAACUAGGAAGUGGGAGAGGUAGACGGUACUCGGUAGGAAGGGGUAAAAUCCUUUGAUCUAUUGAUGACCACCUGUGGCGAAGGCGGUCUACCAGAACACGUUCGACGGUGAGGGAUGAAAGCUGGGGGAGCAAACCGGAUUAGAUACCCAAGUAGUCCCUGAGCGGGCUGGCAAGGCGCAU
rnacentral:rRNA from 1 species